UGCCUACGGGGCGCAGCAGUGGGGAAUUUUGGACGAUGGGCGCAAGCCUGAUCCAGCUAUUCCGCGUGUGGGAUGAAGGCCCUGGGGUUGUAAACCACUUUUGUAGAGAACGAAAAGACACCCCUUAAUAAAGGGUGUUGCUGACGGUACUCUAAGAAUAAGCACCGGCUAACUACGUGCCAGCAGCCGCGGUAAUACGUAGGGUGCGAGCGUUAAUCGGAAUUACUGGGCGUAAAGGGUGCGCAGGCGGUUGAGUAAGACAGAUGUGAAAUCCCCGAGCUUAACUCGGGAAUGGCAUAUGUGAC
rnacentral:rRNA from 1 species